rnacentral:rRNA from 1 species
GACAGAGGGUGCAAACGUUGUUCGGAAUUACUGGGCGUAAAGCGCGUGUAGGCUGCCUUGCAAGUCGGAUGUGAAAGCCCUGGGCUCAACCUAGGAAGUGCAUUCGAAACUGCGAGGCUUGAGUCCUGGAGAGGAAGGCGGAAUUCUCGGUGUAGAGGUGAAAUUCGUAGAUAUCGAGAGGAACACCGGUGGCGAAGGCGGCCUUCUGGACAGUGACUGACGCUGAGACGCGAAAGCGUGGGGAGCAAACAGG